rnacentral:rRNA from 1 species
UACGGAGGGUGCAAGCGUUAUCCGGAUUCACUGGGUUUAAAGGGUGCGUAGGUGGGCAGGUAAGUCAGUGGUGAAAUCUCCGGGCUUAACCCGGAAACUGCCAUUGAUACUAUCUGUCUUGAAUAUCGUGGAGGUGAGCGGAAUAUGUCAUGUAGCGGUGAAAUGCUUAGAUAUGACAUAGAACACCAAUUGCGAAGGCAGCUCACUGCGCGAAUAUUGACACUGAGGCACGAAAGCGUGGGGAUCAAACAGG